rnacentral:rRNA from 1 species
UACGUAGGGUGCAAGCGUUGUCCGGAAUUAUUGGGCGUAAAGAGCUUGUAGGCGGUUUGUCGCGUCUGCUGUGAAAUUUCGAGGCUCAACCCCGAACUUGCAGUGGGUACGGGCAGACUAGAGUGUGGUAGGGGAGACUGGAAUUCCUGGUGUAGCGGUGAAAUGCGCAGAUAUCAGGAGGAACACCGGUGGCGAAGGCGGGUCUCUGGGCCGAUACUGACGCUGAGGAGCGAAAGCGUGGGGAGCGAACAGG